UGUUCUGUUAUUCAAGCGAGAUUUAUUGCAAAGUUCAGUAACUUUCAUUAUACAUAAAUCAGGUACAGAUCACAAUAAUCUCUAAUUUUUUAGAAUAAUUUCUACAACCAUCCAGUCUCUCCUGUACGUCAUCCGGAUUAUCGAAAAAUAUCGAAAAAUCUUGGUCAGCAAAGCAGAAAGUCAGCUAAAGAGCCAAAUACCUCAACACCGCCUGCAACCCCGAAGCAAAACACGACACCAGAGGUCGUGCAACUAGUGAGAAUCCCUAUAGCGCCAGGCAGAAGACUUCCACCUGGCAGCCGAUGCUGCUGUCUUAUUUUAUGAAGAAUUUCAAAAUAUCUAAAAUUAAAGAUCGCAUAAUUUUCAAGGUUUCUCAAUAUAUAUUUAUUAUCAGUAUGCUGAAGAAGACCGCGAUACCUGAUUAAAUUUAUAUUAGAAGGAAGCUUCACCAUUAAUUUUUUUCUUAUUUUGUUAACCUCUUUAUCCAUUAAACGGGAGCAUAACUUAACCUCCGACAAUAAAUACAUAAAUUGGAAUUAGAAUAAUUUA